AGACACUCCAGGGUAUCUCAUAAGGUGCAUAUUGUGCCUUAACAUGCCCCCAUUUUUUCACCAAUAAAUGCCAAAGUAUGUGGUAAAAAAUAAUUUUGUGCGUUUUUUACAUAUGGAUUGCAUUUUUGCUGGACAUUUUGUAUUUUUCACAUGUGCCACUAAGUUCAAACCCCCCAAAUUAUGUUCAGCUAAGUCUUCUGAGUAAAAGGACAC